AACGUAGGAGACAAACGUUAUCCGGAGUUACUGGGCGUAAAGGGCGUGCAGGUGGUCUGUUAAGUCUGGCGUGAAAGCUCCUGGCUAAACCGGGAGAGGUCGUUGGAUACUGGCGGACUAGAGGACGGUAGAGGCGUGUGGAAUUCCGGGUGUAGUGGUGAAAUGCGUAGAUAUCGAGAGGAACACCAGUGGCGAAGGCGAGUCCCUGGACGACUCCUGACACUGAGGCACGAAAGCUAGGGGAGCAAACAGG
rnacentral:rRNA from 1 species